AAAUUAUUAUUUUCGAAUAAUUCCUCCAAGAUUUAUUGAAGUAUAUCUCGAAACUAAAACCUUUUAAAUUUGAGUUUUGAAUGACUUUCUUAAACAAGCCGGGGAAAUUAUAAUUUCGUUCUAAUUUCACUCUGACCGAAAAACUUAAUUUUAAUGCCAGAGUUGUAGAAAUUUGUCGAAGAAGAAGCUAAUCUUAACGAAUUUCUCAUAGACAUAUCGGUUGGCCCAUAAUAUUGAAGAAUAUUCCGCAAGUACAGAUUGUCAUCCUUAGAACUGUGAGAGAUUUUAGCAUCCAAUGAUCAUCGCACAUUAUAGUAAAGAUGGAUUUCGUUUACUAAUCAAUUAGUGUUUUUUCGAGGCUCAUCAGGAUUAAUCAAUGUGGCAAAAGACUUUGAAGCUGCCUGGAUUAGGAAACCCAUACAAACGGCUUAGAGAUUUUUAAAAUUUAAAAAGGGAAAACUCUUUAAUUAUUCUUUUUUAGUCAAGAACCGAAAUUGGAGCUAAUUUUUAAAGCAAUUUAAAUAUGACGGUAGCCUUAAAAAAAUGGAAAAUUCCUUUGAAAAGUUGAGCCCAACCACUUCAAAUUACCCCAAAUUGUUAUAUGAGGCUAAUCUACAGAAGGCUAACACUCCCACAUUCAACUGUUUUACACAGGAUAUCCAGAGUCGUAUAAGGAACUUUACACAAAUAACGGUAAAUUAAGCCGGACCGGCCAAUGACAGUGAGAAUACAGUCAAACUUUUCAAAAUAACCUAAAAAGGGUUGUACAAUUUUAUGGGAGCUCUGCUGAACCUAAAUAGACAACUUUCUGCUAAAGAGGUUGCUACAUAUUUCGAAUUUUAAAUACCAAAUUUAGGGAGGUAUAGUUAUAUGGAGGCUAUACAACACAAACAC